AAGACCUGCGUGUGCCAGAAGGUGACCUGGGCAAAGAAAUCGAAAGCAAAUUUGCAGCUGGUGAAGAGAUGUUGGUUACUGUGCUUUCAGCUAUGGGCGAAGAAUCUGCAGUGGCUGUCAAACCCAUGACCAAAUAGGAAGAAAGACUGGGCUGCUCAGGCUGCAACAUGCUAAACUUUAACAAAUCUCUUGCAUUUGUUUUUUUGGUUUUAUUUGUCACCAAAGCUAUGGCCUUCACAAGCAACCUCAAUUUUUUUUGCUGUGAUUGUAUUCCUUUUUUCUUCUCCUUCCAAUACUGUGCUGGACUUGUCGGGUCAGUUGGCAUUUUCUCGGGUAAGAGGUUUAAUACUGUCAGUGUGUUUACCCCCUCAUCCUCCCCCUUUUGUCCCCCCUCAAGUUUUUACCACUUACAUUCCUGAACGUAAAAUAAUGGGAUCCAUUUUUCCUUUUUUGUAUUCUUGAAUUUCUUAAUAGUAAUUAGUGUGCAGGAUUUACGCAAGGUGUUGCGAAGAGAGGAAACCCCAACUGACACUGAACUUUUUUUUUUUUUUUUUUUUUUCCUCUCUCUGGGUGUCAUACUUUUACUUACCUCCUUACAUGAUCUACGCCAUGCUGGCACUAUAGUUAACUUCUCUCAAUUGAAUGCCGCCCCCCCCCACCCCAAAGUGAGAUGCAUACUGGUAGUUGGCACUUCCUUUUACUUGCAGUACUUUAAAAGUACCUUCUCAAGUAAAACCGCUACGACCGAGAAAUAAACUCCAGCGAAAUGUCCCCUUAAAUGCCAGUCUCUAAUUGUUCAGAAGUGGAAAGGAUGUGAUGGCCAUGUGCGAAUACCUCUGUAACACAAUAGCAGCCAGCUUGAUUUUGGCUGUCAUUGAUGACCUUAAAUAAAGUGUUGAAGCCUGUAUUUGUCUCCAGGUAGGCUCUUAUCAGUGCUGCCCCAGACUGAGCUUGAGGACUAAAUCUUUGAGUUCUAAUCUUCCUUUGUUCACUCGAGGCCUUUGUCACAUGACUGGAGAGAGCAAAAAAUAAAAACUGAAUAGAUUUACCUUUUUAAUUUUGUUUUUAUGGCACACUUGAUCAGUAUUAAAACAAGAUCCAGAAGGCUGGUUAAAGGUGUUCCUUCAUAGUUACAGCAGAUAUUCAUCUGGUAAAAUUUAACACAUGAAAAUGUAUUACAGUCUGUGGUGAAUGAAUAUCCUACUUGUGUAAAUUCAGG